AGACCCAUGGGGUAGGGGAACAUCUGGAUAUCCACCAAGUAAAGGAAGCUGUUUCCAGGAGAAAUCCAAGGAAGGAAAAAUCCAGAGCCUGAUGACAACGUGGGGGUAGAAGAGGCUAGAAGGGCCGGCUUCCUUCCUUCUGCAUUGCUGGACCUACAGGAAUAAACAAGAGUUUCAAGCCUCAACGGAGCUUUUCAGUCACGCUUCUCCUUCAGCAAGCUGCCUGAUGUUCACGUGAUCCUCUUUCACAUCCUCUGAGCCCAUAAAUAGUCUCAAAGCAGCUGCUGGAAUCCCUCCUUCCGUCUGCUCCCAUCGCCCCUCAUCAUAGCCACAGGGGCUGUGGCAUCAAAGGUCACACUGGACAGUGUUGGGAGCGUAACCCUGUGGGUGGCCAUGCCACCUACCUAAGCUGAGAAGAUGGCUGCAUGGACCUCACACACUGAGAUGUCAUGAAGAGGAAACAUGGAUUCUAGAUGACUGCAAAGAGGAGGCAUGUGGGAUCUUAGCUGCCUGACCAGGGAUCGAAUCCACACCCCCUGCAUUGGAAGGCAACGUCUUCACCAUUGGACCGCCAGGGAAGUCCCUUAAAAUGUUUCUUCUAAUCCCCAUUUUUUAUGAGAACUUGAUCUUUCCUUCAGAGAUUCUGCCUGCUGUGGAACACUGUUUCCAAAUCUGUCCUUAGCUGAUGUUUCUUGUCCUUUAGGAGGCAACAUGCUAAAGGAUGCUAUCCUUUAGCAUCCCCUCCUGAGAUGCUAUCCCCUCCUCAGAUGCCUUUCCUGACUAGUCUAGGACAUACCCUUCAGGCCAUACUCCCCACCCACCCUGUGACUCCCUUCUAGAAGGGAAGGCAGAACUAAAUAUAAUUUAUUUAGUUUUAUCAGAACUAAAUAUAAUUGGAAAUGAUCUCUUUCACUCAUUGAUUCCUUUGCUCACUUGUUUAUUGUAUGUCUGCUUCCACUAGAAGAUAAGCUUCAGGGGAACAGAAAGCUUAUCUUGCUCACUCCCCAGCUCCUAAAACAGUGUUUGGCAAGAGUAAAUGUUCAAUAAACAUGUGCUGAAUGAACACAUAAAAACCUGCCAGACUUCAUUUAGCAAAGCAGCUUUGAUUUUGCUGCUACCUCAAGCGGGCAUCUUAUUUCCCUUCCUUUUUUCAGCAGUCCAGUGUUCUGUCUCCACUUUCGAUCACUCCUUCCUCAGUCUGGCUUCAUAUCUGACCCCAUCGCCUCCAUGAAGCAGAUCUCUUGAAGGUCAGCCAUGUCUCCUUCAAGGUCAGACUCAGUGGUCUUUCCUUGGCCUUGGAUGUUGUUGACUCAUCUCCAGAUUUGGUAGUGAGGAACCUUCCUGAGAUGCUUCUUGUGAAUGUGGCCCUAGUAAACUGAGCCCUUUGCUUUUCUAUGCGUUUUUAUUUAGCCUCUGUAAGUAUGUGUUCUUCCUAUGUAUUCCUCAAGUUUCUGUCCUUAGAGUUUUGCUUUCCACUCUCUGUCCUCUUUACAUCAAAGGCGGUAUCUACAGCUCUGUCUUCAUCAAGGGUCUCAGUCUUAGAUGAUGCAUAUGGGAGUCAGAACAGCAGUUGCACAGAUGGUAGUUCUUCUGCCCUAGGCACAUAUAGGAUUAUUUAUCCACAUUCUCCUGAUCUCAAGGAUGAUCACAUGACCUGCUUUUUCCAAUUACAUGUGAGGGGAAAAGAGGCACGUGACAUUUCCGGGCAGCAGUUGUUUUUUUUUUUUUUUUUAAAUUGGUAAUAUUUGUAUUUGAAAGUUCCCCAUUGAUACAUGAGGUCUGGAUUACAACUUAUAUACAAUAAGUGAUUUCCAAAAAAGUAAAGAAAGAGGAGGGAAGGAAAGAAGGAAAGAAAGGAGGGAAGGAAGGAGGGAGGGAGGGUAGAAAAGGAAACCUAUAUUCAUAGACAUCGUAAUAUGGGAUGUUUAUUUCCGAGAGAGAUACUACUGCUGCUAUCGUGCACGAGAAGCAGCACAAAUUAACACUAGAUUAAAAUUUGCUCAGCUUUCUAACUGGCUCCUGGUUGUCCAUGUUCCCCUUGCCCAGUCUCCAUGAUCACUGAGAACACACUGAAAUGGAUCCUCCAUGAAACUGCAUCCCUGAUGAGCAGGGUCUCCUUGCGGAAUUGCGGUGGCCACGGAAAAAUCCUUAUUACUGAAAUGGCUCCGUUAUAACCUCCUUGAUCUUGGAUAUCAGCUUCUCAUCAUCUAACUCUGGGAAUACAGAUGACAUAGUGUUGUAAAGUAAUGAGUGACCACAGAGCUGAUGACUCUCUAAAGAUGAGAAACAUAAAUACAGACCAACAUAAACAUGAACUUGCUCUGAGAACUUUCCACAUCAGUAGUUCUUAAAAGUGUAGUCCACAGACCAGCAGCACCAGUAGCACCUGGACCCUUUUUGGAAAUGCAAAUUCUUGAGCCCUUUCUCAGACCUACCAAAUCAGAAACUCUGGCAAUAAGGCCUAGACAUUUGCAUUUUAACAAGGUCUUCUUGGUGAUUCUGAUGGGCGCUGAAGUUUGAGAACCACUGCUCAAUAUCAUCUGUUAAGACAAAAGGUCAAGAGAACUGAGUAAAUUCUAUUGGGUGGGCCAAAAAUUGCCUUCAUUUUUAAAGUAAAAAAACCAAAAGACACAUUUUUCAUUUUCACCAAGAACUUUAUUGAACAAUGUAUUCACUGUUUUGUUCCACUACUUUCUGCCAUUUUUCAGGCAACUUCAUAAUUCCAUCUUCCCAAAACUUUUUAUCUUUUUCAGCAAAGAACUGUUCCAGGUGCCUUAUAUGGUCUUCCAGGGAAUUGACAUUUUUUCCAUUAAGAGAAUUUUGUAAAGACCAAAAUAAAUGGAAAUCCGAAGGUGCAAUGUCUGGUGAAUACGGCAGAUAAAUUAGAACUUCCCAGCCCAGCUGUAACAGUUUUUGCCUGGUCGUCAAAGAAACAUGUGGUCUUGUGCUAUCCUGAUGGAAGAUCAUGGGUUGACUAAUUCGGGAUGCUUUUCAUCGAGUGCUGCUUUCAGUUGGGCUAAUUGGGAGCAGUACUUGUUGGAAUUAAUCGUUUGGUUUUCCAGAAGGAGCUCAUAAUAGAGGACUCCCUUCCAAUCCCACCAUAUACACAACAUCACCUUCUUUGGAUGAAGACCAGCCUUUGGUGUGGAAACAUCCGGAGAAGCUGCAUGAUCAGAAUGCAAGGAUCUGCCUACGAGGAUUCUGAGGUCGCCCUGCUUCCAUCUAGUGUUUUCUUCCAGGAGACGGGACUUCCCCUCCCAUUUCCAAUGCUCCAGGACACACAGAGCCAGCCCAUAUGGAGUGAACUCUCCCAGGGUAUUUUUAAAGUCCUAGGUUUUGGAGAACUGCUCAGCUCUGUCUGCCCAGCUGCUCCCUUCUGAGAAGGCCCUGAGCUGCCUUCCUUCUUGAGAUUCCUCACUGGGGUCUUUCUUGUAUGCAGCUCUGACUGUGGGCUGCUGAAUCCAUUGGGGGUAUCUUCAUCUCCAGGGGAGAUUAGGCGAGGUCUGCUAUUAGGGAACUCAGCAGACCCACCUCCAAAUCCAGCAGCUGGUGCCCUGAAUGUACAGAGGAAACUAUUUGUUUCCUUAGAAGUGCUUGUACCUUCGAUGAGACAGACCAACAAAGAAUGAAACCGUUUUCAGGACAUUCUAAUUAAUUGCUUAUGCUCAUAAUAGUUGGCAUUUGCAAGCACUUAUUUUAUACCUUCAUGAUGCUGUGGGUUCUACAUAAUCUCAUUUAAUCCUCCUGAGAACCCAAUGCAUUGGAUAGUUUUACUAUUCCUAUUUUGCUGCUGUAGGUAGUGAGACUCAGAAUAUAAAUGAUAUUGUCAAGGCUGAACCCUAAGUGGCAGAGCCAGGGACCAGCCAAUAGAGUGUAAUUCUAAAACAAACAAACAAACAAAAACCCCCAAACUGGUUUGUUAAGUAGAAGUUAGUCAUUUACACUCUUGGGAGUAAGUCACUAUUUCAUUUUAUAUUUAUCACAGUGAGGAAAGAAGAUACUGUUCAUCAUCAGACAUGUGUCCUAGAGCUUUUACUGGCGUGUUGAAAAAUGCAGAGGAUAUAAGGAUGAUUCCCUGGCGGGAGUGGUAAUGGCCAAAGAGGCAUGCAAAAAUCUAGGGAAAACAAAUCAUCCUAAUAUUCCAACAAGAGAAAAGGGAAAGGCAGACAAAACAGAAAUACAUAAAGCAAACAUAUAAACGAAAAGUCUAAUUACAGAGAGGCUCCACUGAUGAGCUCUGAUGAGAAAAGGAGGAUAUCCUCACUUUAUCCCAUAAGUGAGGAUAAAUAGCACCUACGCAUGUACCUGUCGGAAGAGUGUUAUGAUGGGGAAGAGUUUCCAUGAUAAGGAAAAGAACUGCCAUUGCUCUUAGGAAACAUCCUGACCAGGCCCACCUGUGAAUGACUGCGGGCAGGAAGAAAUUAACACAUCCCCUCUGGAGGCGGGCUGGAACCAGGAAGUGUUUGACUUUACUCCCUCCCCUUUUAGUAUAAAAGAAGCCGAAGUUCUAACUCAGGAUCCCCGUGGACAUCGAUAGUGACCAAGGAAUCUACUUUAUUGGCCAUGAAGUUCAGGAAUGGGCCGAUACAAAGGACGUACAGGGGCAUUUCCACCUGCCUUACAACCCCACUGCUGCCGGGCUAUGAAGAGACUACUUAAACAACAGUUGAGGUGGGAAACUCACUCUUAACAGGUGGACACAUCCCAGGAGCAGUUAUCCCAGUGCCGACGCCAUGUUAACCCGGAGGUAACUAGUCAACACUGUUCGAGUUCAACUGCUGACCACCGAAGGACUGUUGCCAACUACAGGUGAAGAAAUGAUUGCCAGAGAGACUAAGUGACUUAAGUCAUAUGAAGAAUUUGAGUGCCAGCCGGGGAGGACUUCCACUGGAACUCUGCUGGGGUUCCUUCUCGCAGUUUGAGGAACCACCCUAGAAGGGUAUGGAGAGACCGUCUCCUCCACUCAUACUCACGCGACAGAAGCCAGUCUCUGGACAGCUGGAAUUCCCUUUACUUUUAAAACGUACUAUGUACAGGGCAGCAAUGGUCACUGGAAUAGUGCUAUUUACAUGACUAAACCACAAGUCGAGGUGCAGACAUGUGAAAAUUAAAAAAAAAAAAUACACCAACAUUAAAAUAAAUACUGCAUAAUGACAGGAUAUUGAAUAUAUCGAUAGUUCCCUAGUGUGUAUAGCUUUAUAGCACUGGCCACUACUUUGAAGUUUCCCAAGAAUUUCAGCUGUGAGGAGUGGAAAAGGAUGUGAUAAGAAAAGAUGUUGGAUACAAAGUCUGACUCCAUGAAGACACUUUCUUAGGACUCUAAGGAUUCUUAAGGAGAAUUUAGAAGCUCCAGAUAAACUGAAGAAUAACACAGAACACUAGCUAACAAGAACUUCUUAUUGUCUUGGAACCUGGUUUUACAACAAGGCCACGGGCCCGAAUGAUUUCCACCUCCAGCUGUCCCUUUUUGUCCAUCAUGCCUACCUGAAUGUCACCUAAUGGCGUGUGAGGAAGAAACAAACAGUGAGAGAAAUGUCUGUGCCAAAGACCUUGGUUUAACAUUGUUUCAUCAUUUCCUACAUCUUUUCCUAAAUUCAAAUAUAUUUAAAAAUUUAUCAAUGAUACUUUACUUUAAAAAGCAUACAAAUUAAAAUGGAAAAAUUUAGUCAAAGUUUUUUGUUUAAAUCUAAGAUACUCAUUCCUGAUAAUACUGUUAAAGAUCCUAUGAAAUUAAAGAAUGUGAUUUUCAAUAAUCUAAAAGAAAAACAAUGAAUCACGUGACAAAUUCUUACCCAUGGCAGGUGUGGCCAGAGUCUGGCGCCCCACUAGCUGGGCAGGGCCAAGGCCAUCCAGAAAAUCACUGAAUUGGCUAUCAGAGGCCAAGCGGACACCAGGGAAAAUCAGACUAAAAGUAAAAUAACACACAGGAUUAAACCCUCCACUCCUGUUUCCAUCUAGCCCCCUUUCCGUGGCAGGAGCAGCUGGUCCUACUAUUUUGCCACUUACAUUAAUUGUAUCCCAACCUCCCCACUGCACCUCCAUGGCUCUCCCUCCUUAUCCUCUAGCAGCCCUCGUCCUGUAUUGCAAGCCUCUGUUUAUGUGCCUUUCUUUUCCUUGUCUGGAGGGCAUGAACUGUGAUUUCUAUGUAUAGCACUCAGUACACUUUGAGCACUUAUUCCAUGACAGGCAUUAGCAUACUGAAUCUCUUAGCUGCACUAUGACAGAGGUUCUAUUAUUUAACCCAUUUUAUCGAUGAAGAAAGUCUUCAGAUCAGAUCAUUCCCAUCAACACCCAAACACACUGCUAUUUCUUCCACCUUAAAAAAAUCCCUUUCCUAACCUUCUUCCCUCCCCAGCUACCACCCCGUUUCUCUCCUUGAAAUCUUCAAUUCCUUUCCUCUCAUUCUCCUUUGAAAAUCGAAUCCGUUUUUCCUUGCUCUCUUCCUCAUUUUUUCUCCACUCCACGCUCUCUUCCUCAAUUUUUCUCCACUCCACCAAAAUUUCUCUGAUCAAGGUUACCUAACAGCCACAGUGGUAAAUCCAACCGUUAAUACUCCAGACUUGUCUAAUUGAACAUAUUAGCCUCAUUUGACCCAACUGAUCCCUCCCUCUUCCUUGAAAUACUUUCUCCACGUUGCUUCCUGGACUCUCUAGCCUCCUGGUUUUCCUCUUUGGCUAUUCUUCCUCAGUCUCCUUUGCUAAUUUUGCCACUAAGUAUAGGAGGCGCCAUCUUUUGACUUCUUCUCUUCAAGCCAUCAUUUUCUCUUUCUGUAUUGCUGCGGCAGCCUUCUGAAUGAUCUCCCCAUUGCCACCUUUCUCUCCACUCCCACAGCAAUCAGAGUGAUCUGUUAAAACUGAAGCCAGAUAAUGUCAGGCCUCUGCUCACAAUCCUCCAUUGGUUUCUCAUCUCGAUCUGGGUAAAAGCAAAGUCCUUGCAAUGAUGUAUAAAGACAAUACAGCCUGUCCACCCCUGCCCCCCAUAUCUUAAUUCCUAGUUUUUUACUACUCCUGCCCUCAUUCCCCGGUGCCGCCAUUCCCACUACUGAUGCCAGGUAAGCUCCAGCCUCAGCGUUGCUUCAGCCUGAAAUGCUCUUCCUUCAGACAUUCAUGUGUUCACUAACUUCCUUCAGAUUUUAAAUCAAAUGUGCCCUUUUCCCUGUCUAACCUACAUAAAACCCUACCCUUAACCUCUGCCAUCUCUUCUCUCACCUUUUUCUCCUUAGCACUUAUACCAUCUAAUCUAUUAUAUAUUAAAUAUUAUAUAUUUUCCUAAUUUUUCUUUUAUUUGAACAAUUUUUCAAGUUUAUUGUCCAUCUUAUCUGUUAGACUGUAAGUUUGAUGAGGGUAGGGUUUUUUUAUUUGUUCACUGAUAUAUAUCCAGCACUAGAACCAUGCCUGAAAUACUGUAAGUACUUGUUAAACUCAAUCAAUUAAAAUGAAUCUUAAAAAAAUUACAUAACUUGCCCAAGUUUCUAUAGCACCAAAAAACGGAUUAGAAUUUAAGCCUAUAUGAUUCUAAAGCCUAUGGUCUAACCACCAACUGAUUUUUGCUUCCUCGUAUGACAUAUAUCCCCAACUCAUAGCAAAGUGCCUAGAACACUAGAAGGUAUGGAAAUAUCUGUUGAAUGAAUUUAUGAGUGUUCAUCCCAUUUCUCCAAUAAGACUAUAAACACCUGGAGCACAGGGGUCAUAGUUUGAACAUUUUAUAUCCCUAACAGUGUCUAACGCAGUGCUUUGCAGUGAUGAGUGCUCACUGCACAUUUCUUUUUUACUUGAUUCUCCAUCUCUUUUAAGACUUCCUUGAUUAACGUCAAAUCUAUUUCGUCCCCCAAGCUUAAUUAAUUCCCAAAUAUACAGUUAAUCCGAACAUUUUUAAUGCUUGCAUAAAUAUCCCAUAUAACCUUAUUUAUAAAUGUAUGGAAACCAUAUAUAUCUCGUAUUCAUAUAAUUGUGUUAGACAAAUGAUCCCUAGGGCAAGUCAUCAGCACUCUGCCAGCUGCUCCUGUGGCCUCACGUCUGUGAACUGACUACACACGUUUGCCUAAGCAUCUGAUGCUGCCAUGGUGAUGACAGAUGAGGUCAGUAAACCCCACUUUCCUCUAUUAAUGUCCUUUACACACCCAUCUACGAUCUGCAGUUGCUAAUUAUUGUUAAUUUGUUGGUGACAGGGCUGUACAAUCUUGACAAAUGCUUUAAAAAUAUCUCAGACACAGUGGAGUCAAGGGAAAGCUACAUGAUAACUACAUAAAGGAAAGGCUCACCAACUUUGUGGCAUUUCAUUUUGGCUGUUACAUUUAUCUGAACUGUUUGUUCCUGGAUGGAACUAAGUAUGUAUCGAUAUUCUAUAUUUUUUAGUAAUAACUCUUAGAGCAAAGAUUUAAAAAAUUAGCAUCGUACAUGUGGCAUAGGCACAAGUGCUUAUUAUUUCUGUGCUUUUAUGUAUUAUUUCAAGGUAGGGCAAACUUCUAUUUGUGACAGUCACAUUUUAGCAUCUUGCCCUUAAAUUGAAACACUUUAUCCCCAAACCUAUUUCCAUUGAUAUACAAAGCCAGAUAUGUCACAUUUCUCAGUGGCAGGGAAGCAAAAGUUUUCUUCACAGCAAAUCAGCCAGUGAAAGUUAAAAUGGUGCUAUAGGGCGUGUGAGUUAGCUUUGGUGAAAGCACAGAGAGUGAGGUAGAGAAGAAGGUCUCCAGCAAGGCAUGGAGACCACGGCCCAGCCAGCCAUCACUCACUUUCCUUCUGAGCUAUAGCUGUUCAUGCUGCCAUCUGUAGAUUCUCGGCUUGCCUGUCGAGUCAUCCAGUUCCUCAUUUCCACAGCCAAGCCCGUUUCUGUACUUCUCUGCACGGUGCUCCGUAGCUUUUUACCACUGGCUUCUGCACGGACAGAAAAUAAAAGGGGUGAUAGUUUUGUCAUCAUCAUCUGGUAACAAAGAAUAGCAGCCAAUGCUUUGAGGUCCUCAGAUGAAGAACCUGCAUAAAUACAAAAUGCUUUUAUGAAGGAGACAGAGAGAAAAGGUAUUCCAAAUCACGUAUUGUUGAGGGAUGAAAACUUUCUAAAAAAUCUUCAAGAAGCACAAAAUACCAUUGUUUUAUUUUCCUUUAAAACAGUGUUCAAAUUGGUAACAAAAGGAACAAAGAGGUUCAAGCUAUGUAAAAUAAGCUUUAUUUUCAUUGUAAUAUUUAAAUCAAGAUUAAUUUACGCCUUUUUCUUUUUUCUUUCUUUUUGUCAUAGUCAAAGAAGUAGGCCUUCACAUUAUUUCCAAAGAAUAGGUGGUGAGUAAUCCUCAAUUCUAGCUUUAACUUUCACACAAAAACCUGUUUUUGCAGGGUGAUCAGUAUUAGAAAGCAAAGAAAGCUACACUAAGGAGAUAGCCUCGCCUGGUAACACUUUCACAUCUGUUCGUCACUUUCAGAGAGGUUCUCAUAAGGAAUGCAAAACCCAGCAAUGCCAUGUGAAAAAAGAGCUUUUAAAUUUUUGGUCAUGGAUAGUCAUGUUCUUAAGGAUCUUCAACAGUCUGAAUAGGAGGUUUGCUUAUGGAAGCCAAUUAGAAGACCAAACAGGAAACUGAGUCAAGUACCACGGAGGUGACAGAGGUGCGAAGUGCCAUCUGCAGAGGUCAGGGAGGAAGAGCAUCACAGAGGGAGCUGGGACGUGAGCUGGGCUUGAAAAAUGGGCAGAUGGGGAUCCAAGAAACAGCCCCAGUUAUCAAAGGCCUUGCAUGUUGGAAUGUGGAGCUGAGAGAUGACUGAAGCUGCAGCAACAGGGGGAUGGUUCAAAUUACUUGUAUUAAUUUACUUCCUGUCAGGUCUAAAUAUUUAUCCACAUUGACUAUUCAUAUCAUUAGUAUUCUGGGAUAUGGUAAGCUCUUGUAGUGUCUGGUAUUAAUAAUUUCAUUUUAGAUCAAUAAAUAUUUGGUGAUAUUGACAGUGA